rnacentral:rRNA from 1 species
UACGAGGGGUCCUAGCGUUGUUCGGAAUCAUUGGGCGUAAAGAGUAUGUAGGCGGCUGGAUAAGUCAGGUGUGAAAGCCCCGGGCUCAACCCGGGAAGUGCAUUUGAUACUGUCUAGCUUGAGUACUGGAGAGGGUAGUGGAAUUCCAGGUGUAGUGGUGAAAUGCGUAGAUAUCGGGAGGAACACCAGUGGCGAAGGCGGCGAUCUGGGAAGAUACUGACGCUGAGGUGCGAAAGCGUGGGGAGCAAACAGG